GUUCAGAAUGUGAGACGAAUCAGACGUAACUUUAUCUGCUGACACCCAGUGCCCAUCUGAGGAGGCUGCUGUUGCUUAGCUUGUUGUCAGGGGUACAAGACUGUGAAGUUAUUGAGGUAGCAGUAAGCAGCUUGCAGCUCUUCAGGGAGCUCUGUGGGGUUAACCCAUGACUGAGAGUGUGAGGUUUGAAGCACUCAAGCUGCAUCUCGAGGAGCACUCUAAGGAUCUCCAGCCCCUCAUGCUCCACCCCAACAAAACUGCUGCAGGAAGACAAAUCCUUACCGGAGAUCCCCACAUAUCACUGGGAUCUCUGUUUCUCCCUCAACUUUUUCCAUCCACCUCCAGACGGAAAACCACUCUAGAAUCCUCCUCCUGCAGUAUUCACUUCCUUGUCUACUGUUGGCUAGAUAUGGCUCCUCCUUCUCAAUUCCUCACACUGCCAACCACAAACAGAAUCUUCUCUCAAGAAUUUCUAUUAUUAAUCUGUGUAAAUAAACACUUUUGUUAUUUUAACCUGUACUUCCAGCAUAGGA